GGGGAUUUAGCUCAGUGGUUCUGCCAUCUGUCUUGCAAGCAUAAGGACCUGAGUUCGAUCCCCAGUAUCCCCU
rnacentral:tRNA from 1 species